rnacentral:rRNA from 1 species
UACAGAGGGGGCAAGCGUUAUUCGGAAUUAUUGGGCGUAAAGAGCGUGUAGGCGGUCAGGUAGGUCGGUUGUGAAAACUGGAGGCUCAACCUUCAGAGGUCGACCGAAACCCCCUGGCUAGAGUCCGGGAGAGGAGAGUGGAAUUCCUGGUGUAGCGGUGAAAUGCGCAGAUAUCAGGAAGAACACCCGUGGCGAAAGCGGCUCUCUGGAACGGUACUGACGCUGAGACGCGAAAGCGUGGGGAGCGAACAGG